CCAGUGUGGAGUGGCCCCGUUUGGAGGAUUUGAUGCUAGGGAGUGUGGCAAGCUGGUUUAGCCAAGGCCAGAAGGGAAGAAAGCCAAAUUACAGAUGUUGGCCAU